GCAAAAGCGGUUAAUGGAAGCAUUAACGUUAAGGCAUACACUAAUGCUAAUGUACGUGGAAGUAUUUUUCUGGUAACCAUAGCGAUCUCCUGGGAUGCAAGGCUAUUAAUUAAGCCGCCUUCUUUUGUUUUUAUUAAAUAUUGAAAUGCAAUUUAAAUGCCAGAGGCAACUUUAAGACAACCAGUUCAGCGGAGAAACCGCUUUUCCUCUUUGUCUUAUUUCAAAGUAUAGACCGUUUUGUUUAAUACCGCCGCUGUGGCCU
rnacentral:ncRNA from 1 species